rnacentral:rRNA from 1 species
UCCGAAGGGGGCUAGCGUUGUUCGGAAUUACUGGGCGUAAAGGGCGCGUAGGCGGUGUGUCAAGUCAGGCGUGAAAGCCCCGGGCUCAACCUGGGAACAGCGCUUGAGACUGGCACGCUCGAGUUCGGGAGAGGAUGGUGGAAUUCCCAGUGUAGAGGUGAAAUUCGUAGAUAUUGGGAAGAACACCGAUGGCGAAGGCAGCCAUCUGGACCGACACUGACGCUGAGGCGCGAAAGCGUGGGGAGCAAACAGG